GAUGAACGCUGGCGGCGUGCCUAAUACAUGCAAGUCGAGCGAACGGACGAGAAGCUUGCUUCUCUGAUGUUAGCGGCGGACGGGUGAGUAACACGUAGAUAACCUACCUAUAAGACUGGGAUAACUUCGGGAAACCGGAGCUAAUACCGGAUAAUAUUUUGAACCGCAUGGUUCAAAAGUGAAAGACGGUCUUGCUGUCACUUAUAGAUGGAUCCGCGCUGCAUUAGCUAGUUGGUAAGGUAACGGCUUACCAAGGCAACGAUGCAUAGCCGACCUGAGAGGGUGAUCGGCCACACUGGAACUGAGACACGGUCCAGACUCCUACGGGAGGCAGCAGUAGGGAAUCUUCCGCAAUGGGCGAAAGCCUGACGGAGCAAAGCCGCGUGAGUGAUGAAGGUCUUCGGAUCGUAAAACUCUGUUAUUAGGGAAGAACAUAUGUGUAAGUAACUGUGCACAUCUUGACGGUACCUAAUCAGAAAGCCACGGCUAACUACGUG
rnacentral:rRNA from 1 species